rnacentral:lncRNA from 1 species
GCAUGAAAUUGCAUCGUUGUUGCACAAGAAAAACGCUCGGUCUUUGGCGCUAUCCACUCUCUUCCAAACCAUAGAAGCGAAGUCCAAUUUGAAAAUCUCGGUACCCAUAACAUGUCCACACACCUUUCUCGUAAACAUGGUAAUUAUAGCGAAUAGCUCCCUGCAAGAUUCGACCAAGUCCUUCCUCAUAAACGGAGAAAGUUGCUGCCGAGGAUAAGGUAACUCAUUCUCCUACAAUUUUAGAAAGCAAAUUAGUUUAAUUU